CAUGUUCUCGUCACACCUUGGGUGAUUUAGAAAGACUGCAAACAAUGGAACAGAAAGCCUAUUAUUUUCUUGGUCCAUCCUAAUCAGUCAGCGACACACCUGUGGAAUGCCAGUCUGUGCUAGGAACGGGAAGGUGAUAACCCACACCAGCCCUACCCUCGAGGGCUUGAUGGUCUAGCGAAGGAAGGAAGAAAUACAUAGUCCUGGAAGAAGCAAGGUGGUGUCCAAUGCUGACAGGGCGUG